UACUGACCUUUGAAAAAGAGUACCUUGGAGUAUCCAGGUGGGUCCAAUCUAACUAAAGGGGCCUUUCAAAGCAGAGAACUUCCUGUGCCUUCAGUCAGACAUACGCAGCAGUAGCCGCAGCAGAAUAGAGAUACAGCAAAAGGGAAGAUCAAAAGAUUCCAAGCAUGAGAAGAAUUUGAGGUUCUAUUGCUGGCUCUAGAUAGAGGACCAGAGAGAGGCCUCCAGGAUCUGAUGGCUAUCCCCCGCUGACAGCCAGCAAAGAAACAGGAACUUCAGUCUUACAGCUGCAAGGAAUAAUUAAGGCUACUGGUAGAUGUAAUUAAGGCUACUGACCUUUGAAAAAGAGUACCUUGGAGUAUCCAGGUGGGUCCAAUCUAACUAAAGGGGCCUUUCAAAGCAGAGAACUUCCUGUGCCUUCAGUCAGAGAUACGCAGCAGCCGCCGCAGCAGAAUAGAGAUACAGCAAAAGGGAAGAUCAAGAUUCCAAGCAUGAGAAGAAUUUGAGGUUCUAUUGCUGGCUCUAGAUAGAGGACCAGAGAGAGGCCUCCAGGAUCUGAUGGCUAUCCCCCGCUGACAGCCAGCAAAGAAACAGGAACUUCAGUCUUACUGCUGCAAGGAAUAAUUAAGGCUACUGGUAGAUGUAAUUAAGGCUACUGACCUUUGAAAAAGAGUACCUUGGAGUAUCCAGGUGGGUCCAAUCUAACUAAAGGGGCCUUUCAAAGCAGAGAACUUUCUGUGCCUUCAGUCAGAGAUACGCAGCAGUAGCCGCAGCAGAAUAGAGAUACAGCAAAAGGGAAGAUCAAAAGAUUCCAAGCAUGAGAAGAAUUUGAGGUUCUAUUGCUGGCUCUAGAUAGAGGACCAGAGAGAGGCCUCCAGGAUCUGAUGGCUAUCCCCCACUGACAGCCAGCAAAGAAACAGGAACUUCAGUCUUACAGCUGCAAGGAACUGGAUUAUGCCAACAACCAUAUGAGCUUGAAAGUGAAUUCUUCCCAAAGCCUUCCGAUAAGAGCCCAGCUGGCUGACAGCUUGAUUUCAGCUUUGUGAAACUCAGAGCAGACAAACCAGUUGAGCCCACCUGGACUUCCUACCUACAGAACUAGUAAGAAGGAGUCCACCAGCCGAGGCUGGACCAACUGCUGAAAGUCAGAGUCCUGGAGGCCUUCAGGGCAGACCCCAGCCAAUCUACGCAGAGCAGCCUGGGGAGAAGACAGAAGAGGUGACACGUGUCAGACUGGGCCAUGUCAGAUGUCAGACCUACAACAUGGCUUUCCAUGCCUGCUUCUGCUUCCUCCUCUGCAUCCAUCAUAGGAAUUGCCUAUCUACUCCUACCUUAGUAUCGGCCUCAAACUGACACAGUCUCUACAAAAUCAAGGUGAUUUUUUUCAGGAAAUCAAGAAGACAUUGGAGACGUUUCAAAAAUAUGCCUCACUCAAUAUCAUGAGAAGAGUGGUAAAAGACUGAAAAAAAGUAAAAGAAGACAGGCUGAAGCUGAAUGACAAACAUUUUCUUAAAAUGCAUACUAGGCAGAUAUGAAACAAAAAAAAUAACAUCUUAAAGACCAAAGAAAAGGGAUUAAAAGGGGGCUAAGGAGACGCAUGCAGUUUAACUUCUCUGGAUAAGGAAUUAGAAAAGAAAAAAUGUAUUUUUCAUUGUCUGUCAAUCUGAAAACGAGUAACUGCAACCUAGUGAAAUCUAUCAGAAGGGAGGUAAACUCUCAAAAAGCAAACUGGCAUGAGUUCCUCAGAAGGAGCCAGGAAAAUAUUGUGAGACCUCUCCCUAAAGUUUUGGAUGGAAAGUCCAUAAGUCAGACAUAGUAGAGUAGCCCAUCUGUGCAAAGGGGUUACAUAAAAUGCAGGUAGCAUUGACAGGAUGCAGUAGAUUAAAGAUGGUUAAAAAUUCUUUUCUACUUCUUUUAUAGAGAGAUGAGUUCUAAUUCCCCUUCCCUUGAAUCUGGUCUUAAUGCCUUGCUUGACCAAUAGAAGCAAGCAUUUGGCAGAAGUAAUGUCCUAAGAUUUCCAAGGCCAGGUCAUAAAAGGCCUUGAAGCUUCCACCCAGGCAUCUUGGAACUUGGAACACUGUUUUGGGAGCCCUGAGCUUCCAUAUCAGAAGUUUGAUAACUGUGAGAAUGUGAUGCUAGAAAAGCCACGUGUAGGAUCCCUAUCAAUACUCUCAGCUAAGGUCAUCCUUCCAGCCAUCCCCUCCAUGGCACCAUACAUGUGAGUGAAUACCACUGUCUAGCACUCUUCAAGCCAUCUGCCAGCUGAAUACCACAUCUGUUGUUGCUGCACAGAAUGGAAGAAUCACUUAGCCAAGCCCUGUCCAAAUUACUGACCCUUAAAAUCAUGAGAUAUAAUAAAAGCAAUUGCUGGGUUUUUUUUAAAAAGUAUUUUAAUAGUAGAGUUCGGAACACAGGAAAAGACCACAGAGAUCAUCAUGAACUAUUCGAAAGAUUACUGGAUAAACCAUCUCAGGUGAAAGUUUUUGGAAGUGGGGAUGCAGUAUUUCCUUUGUCUUAACAGAAUAUGCUGGAAAAAUGCAUGAAUUAGGACUCUGAGGGAAGGCACAGAAAGAUUGGAUGUACUGAAGAGAAAACAGACAAAAUAAUAAUUAUAUCUAGGUUUAGAUGAGCUACUGGUCAGAUGGGAAAAUACCUCCUAAGUGGGAAUAUCCAAUUUAGGAACAUAAAUGUGGAUAAGAUCUCUUAGAACUAAAAUAUUUUGACAGACCCCAAACUUAAUUGAUUUCGUUUCUCUCAAUCAGGGAAAUCCCAACAUCUAGAUUAGUUUGUUGGAAAAACAAAAGAAUGUGUCAGAAAGCGAAGGGAAAUAAAAGCAGAAAAGUAGCUCAGAUCCAGAUGCUGCAUUCACUCUAUAAGUUAGGAAAGAGACCCACAUGAGAAGAAGAGUAAAUCGUUAGAAAUUCAAAUGAGUCUCUCUAAAAGGAAUGUGGGAUUAACAGAGGGAAAGAGAACAUUGGGGGCAGAGUUCAUUACUGGAAAAAAAAAAAGUAGCAGAAAGAAAUCCUAUUAAAAACUGGUAUAUUCAAAAGCUAUAGGAAGAUGCUAUUCUGAGAAGCCCCUGGCAGAGGUACUGACCCUCGUGGACUCAGAAUUCGGGAACAUCAAGAGUGGCCUCAGUUCAGGUAUCUGCUGAGGAUGAUGUUCAAAUGCAGCAAGUGUGGAAACCAAAUGGAAACCCUUCCCAGCAGGUAGGGAUCUUAAAGUUUAAGCAACCCUCUAGUAAGAAGAGGGAACAAUAGACCUCAUAAUACAGAACUAGAAGCACCUGAGUAUCUUAUGUCAAAAGAAUUUUUUUCUCAUUUCACCCUAAAAACAUUUUGAAAAAUAUAUGACCCCUUGCACAUUUUUAAUUUGACAGCUAAAUUUUUUUAUCAUAAGUUUAAAAAACAAAGUUGGAAAGAAUGUAAUUUCCAGAAAAUUGCAAAUGUUGACAUAAAAUAAAAUCAUUACAUCACUCUUGCAAAUGUAUUCAAUAGAUUCUAAAUACCAAAACAACUUAAUACCAU
rnacentral:lncRNA from 1 species